AUCGAACGCUGGCGGCAGGCCUAACACAUGCAAGUCGAACGGUAACUGCAAGCAUCUUGCUGCUUUGCUGACGAGUGGCGGGCGGGUGAGUAAUGUCUGCGGAACUGCCCGCUGGAGGGGGAUAUCUACUGGAAACGGUAGCUAAUACCGCAUAACGUCGCACGACCAAAGAGGGGGACCUUAGGGUCUCUUGCCUUCGGAUGUGCCCGGAUUGGAGUAGCUAGUUGGUGGGGUAACGGCUUACCAAGGCGACGAUCCCUAGCUGGUCUCCGAGGAUGACCAGCCACACUGGGACUGAGACACGGCCCAGACUCCUACGGGAGGCAGCAGUGGGGAAUAUUGCCCAAUGGGCUAUAGCCUGAUCCAGCAAUGCCGCGUGAGUGAUGAAGGCCUUAGGGUUGUAAAUCUCUUUUACCCGGGAUGAUAAUGACGUUACCGGGAGAAUAAGCUCCGGCUAACUCCGUG
rnacentral:rRNA from 1 species